CUGAUGCAGCAACGCCGCGUGAGGGAUGACGGCCUUCGGGUUGUAAACCUCUUUUGGUAGGGAAGAAGCCUUCGGGUGACGGUACCUGCAGAAAAAGCGCCGGCUAACUACGUGCCAGCAGCCGCGGUAAUACGUAGGGCGCAAGCGUUAUCCGGAAUUAUUGGGCGUAAAGAGCUCGUAGGCGGUCUGUCGCGUCUGCUGUGAAAUCCCGAGGCUCAACCUCGGGCUUGCAGUGGGUACGGGCAGACUAGAGUGCGGUAGGGGAGAUUGGAAUUCCUGGUGUAGCGGUGGAAUGCGCAGAUAUCAGGAGGAACACCGAUGGCGAAGGCAGAUCUCUGGGCCGUUACUGACGCUGAGGAGCGAAAGGGUGGGGAGCAAACAGGCUUAGAUACCCUGGUAGUCCACCCCGUAAACGUUGGGAACUAGUUGUGGGGUCCUUUCCACGGAUUCCGUGACGUAGCUAACGCAUUAAGUUCCCCGCCUGG
rnacentral:rRNA from 1 species